ensembl:snRNA U6 U6 spliceosomal RNA
GUGCUUGCUUCAGUAGCACAUAUACUAAAUUUGGAAAGAUACAGAGAAGAUCAGCAUAGCCCCUACACAAGAAUGAUAUAAAUUCAUGAAUUGUUCUGUAUUUCA